rnacentral:lncRNA from 10 species
UGUUCUGAGUUAGUGUGCCCAGGUGUGGUGAAAGACACGGAGAAACCACUGCUUGAUGCGUUCUCUUUUGUUGUUUAAGUUGUGGGCUGCUGUGGGAUGGGGUUGCAUGUCUGCGUCCUCUUCGAAAAGCACACAAUAUGGCAAGAGGAAGCUGGAGAGAGCUCCUAGGAGUGCCUCGUGCCAGGUGAAGAGGUUGCAUUGCGGGUGGUGGGUAGGUGCCUAGGGAGAGGAGGUCCACGCCUGCUGUCCUUCCAGCACGAUGGCUCCAAAAGCAGAGCGAAGAGGUGAUGUUCCAACUUCCCAAGGCAUCCAAGGGACGGGGCUUGAAGAAUGCAGCCUAGCAACCAUGUGCGUAAGAAUGUGGGGAAGGAGGGCUUGAGGAUGAGCCUGAGAGUCAACUGGACUGUGGGGAAAUAGUGUAGCCUUCUUUCUUUGAGCUUCAGUUAUCUCGCCUGUGGUGAUGAUGACGAUGAUGAUAAAGAUGAUGCCAUACUUCUAUGGCACAUACUAUGUUCCAGAUAUUGUUCAUAUAACUCGUAUAAUUUUCAUAGCAGUUUUACAAGAUGAGUACUAUUUGUUUUUGUUUUUUUGUUUUUUUUUUUAGAUGGAGUCUCGCUCUGUUGCCAGGCUAGAGUGCAGUGGCGCAAUCUGGGUUCACUGCAACUUCUGCCUCCUGGGUUCAAGCAAUUCUCCUGCCUCAGCCUCCUGAGUAGCUGGGACUACAG